UGUUUUUCCGGCCUCACCGGCUAUGACACAUAUGCAUAGCUGGAUCAUUUAGUGACAUAGAAUCCAACCAUGAUAUGUGGAAUAGUCGGCGAGUGCCUGGAGCAUUU
rnacentral:pre_miRNA from 1 species